rnacentral:rRNA from 1 species
CAUUUAUUAGAUAAAAAGCCAGUUCAUGCUUUUACAGUAUGAAAAUUGGUGAUUUAUAAUAACUUAGCAAAUCGCAAAGUGAAAACAGGCGAUAAAUCAUUCAAGUUUCUGACCUAUCAGCUUUCGACGGUAUGGUAUUGGCUUACCGUGGCAGUGACGGUUAACGGGGGAUUAGGGUUCGAUUCCGGAGAGGGAGCCUGAGAAACGGCUACCACAUCUAAGGAAGGCAGCAGGCGCGCAAAUUACCCAAUUCUAACAGUUUGAGAGAGGUAGUAACAAGAAAUAACAAUACAAGGCAGUUAAAAUGCUUUGUAAUUGGAAUGAUAGAAAUUUAAACCCUUUUUAAAGUAUCAAUUGGAGGGCAAGUCUGGUGCCAGCAGCCGCGGUAAUUCCAGCUCCAAUAGCGUAUAUUAAAAUUGUUGCAGUUAAAAAGCUCGUAGUUGAAGUUCUGCUGAAAGUAACCGGUCUGCUUUUAAUAAAAGUGGUAUCUUGGUAUGUAUUUAGCAAUGAUGUCCUUUGAAGUGUUUUUUACUUUAUUGUAAUAAAGCAUAUUCAGGACUUUUACUUUGAGAAAAUUAGAGUGUUUCUAGCAGGCUGACGCUUUGAAUACUGCAGCAUGG